UACAGAGGGGGCAAGCGUUGUUCGGAAUUACUGGGCGUAAAGGGCGCGUAGGCGGCCUGUUAAGUCGGACGUGAAAUCCCUCGGCUCAACCGGGGAACUGCGUCCGAAACUGGCGGGCUUGAAUUCGGGAGAGGGAUGUGGAAUUCCAGGUGUAGCGGUGAAAUGCGUAGAUAUGCGGAGGAACAUCGAUGGCGAAGGCAAUCCCCUGGGCCUGCACUGACGCUCAUGCACGAAAGCGUGGGGAGCAAACAGG
rnacentral:rRNA from 1 species